rnacentral:rRNA from 1 species
UACGUAGGGUGCAAGCGUUGUCCGGAAUUAUUGGGCGUAAAAGGCUUGUAGGUGGCCACGCCAAGUCGGAUGUGAAAUCUCCCGGCUCAACUGGGAGGGGUCAUUCGAUACUGGCGGGCUCGAGGCCGGUAGGGGGAAGUGGAAUUCCCGGUGUAGUGGUGGAAUGCGUAGAUAUCGGGAGGAACACCAGUGGCGAAGGCGGCUUCCUGGACCGGUUCUGACACUGAGGAGCGAAAGCGUGGGGAGCGAUCCGG